rnacentral:lncRNA from 1 species
AUUUAAUUCAUAAUAGCCAAAAACUCAAAACAUCCUAGAAGUCCCUCAGAAGCAUGGAUAAUGUGGUACAUCAAUGGAAUACUCUUCAUUGCACAAUGGAAUACUAUACUGCUAUUAAAACCAAAAGUAUCAUGAAUUUUGCAGGCAAAUAGUUGGAUCUUGAGAAUAUCAUCCUGAGUGAGGUAACCCAGUCCCAAAGAGACUUGCAAGGUAUGUACUCACUUAUAAGUGGAUAUUAGCCAUAAAAUACAGGAUUCCCAUGCUAUAGUUCACUGACCCAAAGUAGCUAAACAAGAAGGAAGGUGCAAGUGAGGAUGCUUGAGUCUCACUUAGAAGGGGAAAUAAAAUAGUCAUAAGAGGCAGAUGGAGGGAGAGAACUAGGUGGAAGACAGAAUGGUAAGGGGAAUGGGGAAUUCAGGAUCAGGUGUGGCGAAGAGCAAUAUGGAUGGCCAAAUAACCAUGAGAAUAAUAGAAAUCAGCAACUAACAGGUACGGGGAGGUGAGAGGUAUCUGCAGGAGGCAGAGACCUGGGUAAGGGAGGUACCUAAGAAUCAAUGUUAGUAUCAUUAGCUGUCACUCACAGCAUUGGGGACAUGGAAUGUGAAGAGGCCACCUCCUGUAGCCUGGCAGGAACCCCAGUGGAGCAAUAUAGACACCAAGCUACCCACAAAACUGUCAACGCAAAUUUAUCCUGUCUCCAAGAAAUAUAAGGUCAGUGGUAUGGAGCAGAGACAGAGAGAAUUGCCAACCAAUAACUGGAUCAACUUGAUAUCCAUUCUAUGGGCUAGCACCAAUCCCUGACACUAUUAAUUAUACUCUGUUAUGAUUGAAGUCAGAAGUCUAGCAUGGCUGUCCUCUGAGAGGCUUUACCCUAACUUAGACAGAUGCAGACACCCAUAGCCAAACAUUAGAUAAGCGUGGGGAAUCUUAUGGAAGAAUUAGAGGAAGGAUUGUGGACUCAAAAGGGAUAGAAACUCUAUAGGAAGACCAACAGAGUCAACUAACCUGGAUCCUUGGGGCACUCAAGAGACUGAACUAUCAACCAAAGAGCAUAUAUGAGCUGGACCAGGACAUGUGUAGCAGAUGUGCAGCUUGAUCUUAAUAAUUCAAAUGGAAGAUAAAGAAGAUAUCUGUAA